UCAACAUUUCAAUAUCUCUCU
rnacentral:siRNA from 1 species